rnacentral:rRNA from 1 species
GAUGAACGCUAGCGGGAGGCCUAACACAUGCAAGCCGAGCGGUAUUGUUUCUUCGGAAAUGAGAGAGCGGCGUACGGGUGCGUAACACGUGUGCAACCUGCCUUUAUCUGGGGGAUAGCCUUUCGAAAGGAAGAUUAAUACUCCAUAAUAUAUUGAACGGCAUCGUUUAAUAUUGAAAGCUCCGGCGGAUAGAGAUGGGCACGCGCAAGAUUAGCUAGUUGGUGAGGUAACGGCUCACCAAGGCGAUGAUCUUUAGGGGGCCUGAGAGGGUGAUCCUCCACACUGGUACUGAGACACGGACCAGACUCCUACGGGAGGCAGCAGUGAGGAAUAUUGGUCAAUGGGUGCAAGCCUGAACCAGCCAUCCCGCGUGAAGGACGACUGCCCUAUGGGUUGUAAACUUCUUUUGUAUAGGGAUAAACCUACCCUCGAGAGGGUAGCUGAAGGUACUAUACGAAUAAGCACCGGCUAACUCCGUG